rnacentral:rRNA from 1 species
GGCGCUGGUGGGAUACUACCCUAGCUGUGUUGGCUUUCUAACCCGCACCACUUAUCGUGGUGGGAGACAGUGUCAGGCGGGCAGUUUGACUGGGGCGGUCGCCUCCUAAAAGGGAACGGAGGCGCUCCAAGGUUCCCUCAGAAUGGGUGGAAAUCAUUCAUAGAGUGUAAAGGCAUAAGGGAGCUUGACUGCGAGACCUACAAGUCGAGCAGGGUCGAAAGACGGACUUAGUGAUCCGGUG